rnacentral:sRNA from 1 species
UAAAAUAAUAUGUUAUACCGUAGACAGUAGGGGCUAUAUAAAGCUUAAUGAUCCUACCGAGGUUUUUAUAAACAAAUUUUCUGGAAUGGAUAAUUUACGUUUGUAAUAAAAAGCCCUCAUGUCUACAUGAGGGCUUUUUCGAUA